rnacentral:rRNA from 1 species
CCUACGGGUGGCAGCAGUGGGGAAUAUUGCGCAAUGGGCGAAAGCCUGACGCAGCGACGCCGCGUGAGGGAUGAAGGUCUUCGGAUCGUAAACCUCUGUCAGCAGGGAAGAACGGUCACUGUGCUAAUCAGCAGUGAAUUGACGGUACCUGCAAAGGAAGCACCGGCUAACUCCGUGCCAGCAGCCGCGGUAAUACGGAGGUUGCGAGCGUUAAUCGGAAUUACUGGGCGUAAAGCGCUCGUAGGCGGUAUGUCAAGUCAAGGGUGAAAUCCCCGGGCUAAACGUGGGAACUGCCUUUGAAACUGGCAGACUGGAGUGUGUGAGAGGAUAGUGGAAUUCCAGGUGUAGGAGUGAAAUCCGUAGAUAUCUGGAGGAACAUCAGUGGCGAAGGCGACUAUCUGGCACAUAACUGACGCUGAGGAGCGAAAGCGUGGGUAGCAAACAGGAUUAGAUACCCGUGUAGUC